rnacentral:SRP_RNA from 1 species
GCCAGGUGUGGUGGUGCAUGCCUGUAGUCCCAGCUACUUAGGAGGCUGAGGCAUGAGAAUUGCUUGAGCCCGGGAGGCAGAGGUUGCAGUGAGCCAAGACUGUGCCACUGCACUGCAGCCUGGGCGAUAGAGUGAGACCCUGUCUCAU